UACGUAGGGACCAAGCGUUGUCCGGAUUCAUUGGGCGUAAAGAGCUCGUAGGCGGCUCAGUAAGUCGGGUGUGAAACCUCCAGGCUCAACCUGGAGACGCCACCCGAUACUGCUGUGGCUAGAGUCCAGUAGGGGAGCGUGGAAUUCCUGGUGUAGCGGUGAAAUGCGCAGAUAUCAGGAGGAACACCAGCGGCGAAGGCGGCGCUCUGGGCUGGCACUGACGCUGAGGAGCGAAAGCGUGGGGAGCGAACAGG
rnacentral:rRNA from 1 species